rnacentral:rRNA from 1 species
GCUAAGGUGACCUGCGGAGGGAUCAUUACACAAAUAUGAAGGCGGGCUGGAACCUCUCGGGGUUACAGCCUUGCUGAAUUAUUCACCCUUGUCUUUUGCGUACUUCUUGUUUCCUUGGUGGGUUCGCCCACCACUAGGACAAACAUAAACCUUUUGUAAUUGCAAUCAGCGUCAGUAACAAAUUAAUAAUUACAACUUUCAACAACGGAUCUCUUGGUUCUGGCAUCGAUGAAGAACGCAGCGAAAUGCGAUAAGUAGUGUGAAUUGCAGAAUUCAGUGAAUCAUCGAAUCUUUGAACGCACAUUGCGCCCUUUGGUAUUCCAAAGGGCAUGCCUGUUCGAGCGUCAUUUGUACCCUCAAGCUUUGCUUGGUGUUGGGCGUCUUGUCUCUAGCUUUGCUGGAGACUCGCCUUAAAGUAAUUGGCAGCCGGCCUACUGGUUUCGGAGCGCAGCACAAGUCGCACUCUCUAUCAGCAAAGGUCUAGCAUCCAUUAAGCCUUUUUUUCAACUUUUGACCUCGGAUCAGGUAGGGAUACCCGCUGAACUUAA